rnacentral:misc_RNA from 1 species
AAAUCGUGAUAAUUCAUGUGAAUUGCAGAAUUCCGUGAAUCAUCGAGUCUUUGAACGCACAUUGCGCCCCCUGGUAUUCCGGGGGGCAUGCCUGUCCGAGCGUCAUUGCUGCCCAUCAAGCACGGCUUGUGUGUUGGGUCGUCGUCCCCUCUCCGGGGGGGACGGGCCCCAAAGGCAGCGGCGGCACCGCGUCCGAUCCUCGAGCGUAUGGGGCUUUGUCACCCGCUCUGUAGGCCCGGCCGGCGCUUGCCGAACGCAAAUCAAUCUUUUUCCAGGUUGACCUCGGAUCAGGUAGGGAUACCCGCUGAACUUAAGC